rnacentral:piRNA from 1 species
UGAUUUCUUAAAUGAAUGCGAGAGAGGC